GUAUAUAAUAAUAAAAAGAUGCGACGUUCUAGUACAUGUGUGUUUUAUGAAAAAAGACGUGAGCCCCGAACCAACGGGACCCAACGCAGAGGUGCACAGGGGUGAGAGAGAGAGAGAACGAGGCGUGCACGUUGCCCCCUCGGGGACCAGCUACAACCUCGCCUUGCAUUUCAUUAAUGAUCCUUCCGCAGGUUCACCUACGGAAA
rnacentral:misc_RNA from 1 species